rnacentral:rRNA from 1 species
AGCGAACGCUGGCGGCAGGCCUAACACAUGCAAGUCGAACGAACUCUUCGGAGUUAGUGGCGGACGGGUGAGUAACACGUGGGAACGUGCCUUUUGGUUCGGAAUAACUCAGGGAAACUUGUGCUAAUACCGAAUGUGCCCUUCGGGGGAAAGAUUUAUCGCCAUUAGAGCGGCCCGCGUCUGAUUAGCUAGUUGGUGAGGUAACGGCUCACCAAGGCGACGAUCAGUAGCUGGUCUGAGAGGAUGACCAGCCACACUGGGACUGAGACACGGCCCAGGCUCCUACGGGAGGCAGCAGUGGGGAAUCUUGCGCAAUGGGCGAAAGCCUGACGCCGCCAUGCCGCGUGAAUGAUGAAGGUCUUAGGAUUGUAAAAUUCUUUCACCGGGGACGAUAAUGACGGUACCCGGAGAAGAAGCCCCGGCUAACUUCGUG